rnacentral:rRNA from 1 species
GAUAGGCUAAUUAAGGGCGUAUGGGGAAUGCCUAGGCUCUCAGAGGCGAUGAAGGACGUGAUAAGCUGCGAAAAGUUACGGGGAAUGGCACACACAUUUUGAUCCGUAAAUAUCCGAAUAGGGCAACCUGGUUAUUUGAAGAAUAAUCAUCCAUCUUGUAUGGAAGCAAACCCGGAGAACUGAAACAUCUAAGUACCCGGAGGAAGAGAAAACAAUAGUGAUUCCGCUAGUAGUGGCGAGCGAACGCGGAAUAGCCCAAACCUAUGUUGUUACGGCAAUGUAGGGGUUGUAGGACUACAAUAUUUGUUGCUCAAUGAAUUAGAAUCUGUUGGAAAUCAGAACCAUAGAGGGUGAUAGUCCCGUAUAAGUAAAGACAGUUAACGAUAGUAGUAUCCUGAGUAGUACGGGGCACGGGAAACCUUGUACGAAUCCGGCGGGACCAUCCGCCAAGGCUAAAUACUCCUGAGAGACCGAUAGUGAACUAGUACCGUGAGGGAAAGGUGAAAAGAACCCUGAAUAAGGGAGUGAAAUAGAUCCUGAAACCAUACGCUUACAAGCGGUCGGAGCCCAUUAGGGUGACGGCGUGCCUUUUGCAUAAUGAGCCUACGAGUUAACGUUGCUAGCAAGGUUAAGUACUUAAGGUACGAAGCCGUAGCGAAAGCGAGUCUGAAUAGGGCGCUUUAGUUAGCAGUGUUAGACGCGAAACCGUGUGAUCUACCCAUGGGCAGGGUGAAGCUGUAGUAACAUACAGUGGAGGCCCGAACCCGUUGACGUUGAAAAGUCUUGGGAUGACCUGUGGGUAGGGGUGAAAGGCCAAUCAAACUCGGAAAUAGCUCGUACUCCCCGAAAUGCAUUUAGGUGCAGCGUUGUAUUAGUUUCAUAGAGGUAGAGCUACUGAUUGGAUGCGGGGCCUUCACCGGCUACCAAUUCCUGACAAACUCCGAAUGCUAUGAAAUGAUGUACAGCAGUGAGGGCAUGGGUGCUAAGGUCCAUGUCCGAGAGGGAAAGAACCCAGACCAUCAGCUAAGGUCCCAAAGUGUAUGCUAAGUUGAAUAAACGAGGUUUGACUGCCCAGACAGCUAGGAUGUUGGCUUGGAAGCAGCCAUUCAUUUAAAGAGUGCGUAACAGCUCACUAGUCGAGCGGUCGAGCAUGGAUAAUAAUCGGGCAUAAGCAUAUCACCGAAGCUAUGGCAUCGAAAGAUGGGUAGGGGAGCAUUGUAGCGACGUUGAAGGUAAACUGUGAGGUUUGCUGGAGUUUCUACAAAAGAAAAUGUAGGCAUAAGUAACGAUAAUGCGGGCGAGAAACCCGCACACCGAAAGACUAAGGUUUCCUCAGCUAUGCUAAUCAGCUGAGGGUUAGUCGGGACCUAACGCGAACCCGAAAGGGGUAGUGGAUGGACAACAGGUUAAUAUUCCUGUACCUGCUCUCACUAAAAGUGACGGAUUGCCCAGAUAUCUACGUGGUGACGGAAGUCCACGUUGAGCAUAGCCUUCGGGCGAAGCGAUGAUAAGUAAGCAGUUCCAAGAAAAGCGAGAGAAGCAGCCCGUACCGUAAACCGACACAGGUAGUUGGGAUGAGUAUUCUAAGGUGCUCGAGAGAUUCAUGGCUAAGGAACUAGGCAAAAUCGACCCGUAACUUCGGGAGAAGGGUCGCCACGUUUCGACGUGGCCGCAGUGAAAAGAUCCAGGCGACUGUUUAUCAAAAACACAGGACUCUGCUAAAUCGAAAGAUGACGUAUAGGGUCUGACACCUGCCCGGUGCCGGAAGGUUAAGUGGAGUUGUUAGCUUCGGCGAAGCAAUCAAAUGAAGCCCCGGUAAACGGCGGCCGUAACUAUAACGGUCCUAAGGUAGCGAAAUUCCUUGUCGGGUAAGUUCCGACCUGCACGAAUGGUGCAACGAUCUGGAUACUGUCUCGGCCAUGAGCUCGGUGAAAUUG